UGGAGGAGAAAGGACCGCAGUGUGGCCGUCCCCCUAGGAGAUGCCAUCAAGUUAAAGGGAGAGCCUACUGAGUUAGGUGGGUCCUACAUCCAGUAGCUGGAUACCUGACAAAGAGAGAGAUCUUUGAAGAUAGAAAGGAGACCGAGAAGAAGACCAUGUGAUGAUGGAGGCGCGGACCUGAGUGCUGUAUCCACAAGCCAGGAACGCCAAGGAUUGCUGGCAAACACCGAGCCAGGAGAGGCAAGGAAGGAGACUUCGGAGGGAGCAUGGCCCUCUUGACACCUUGGCUUCCAAUUUCUAGCCUCCCCAACUACCAGUCUUUGGCUGGGACCUGACCCUGGAAGGGGCUGUGACCUUGGUGAGGCAGUGCUCUUCUCCUGAAAGCAAUCUUGGCAGGGAGGAGUCGGUGGAAGCUGUCGGCCAUCAACACUCGGGCAGCUGGAUGAACCCGAGGCCAUGAGUCUUGUAAGAAAAAGUGUUAUUUGAAAAUUCUUCGCAUUUGUGAAGAUGGCUUUUUGAAAGAUUGACAACUUUGCUGAUUCAAGUUUCUUGAAGUGGAACUAAAGUGCUUCCAAAAUCAUGUAUAACAACUUCCAUGAUAAAUCGUCUUUGAUCCAGACAUAAUGAAUGCAAAGAGCGUGAAAAAAAAAAUAAGAAAGUGUUGCAAAUUAAGGGCCCCAAACACAUUUUGUUCUCACUAAUCAAACUUCAAAACAACUGAUUUUAUAAGAAUACUUUACAAAGAUAAAUUCUUUAUAGUUUUGUGUCUAUUGAAGCUAAACCCUUAAAUCAAAGCUGUCAAUUUGACUGCAUAAUACUGUCAACCAUUUUCAGUAGUGGAAAGUAAGGAAUUUUCAAUAUUUCCCAAGCUGCCUUUUUUUUCAAGUUUUAUUUAUUUUAUUGAGAGAAAGAGAGAGAGAGAGAGAGAGAGAGAGAGAGAGAAGCAGAUGUCUUCAACAAGCUCUCAUUUCACUGCAGUCCCCCAGUGUCCAGCCCACUGAGAUCAUAUGCAUGCUUGCACACCUGACAUGUUCCAGGCCACUCCAGGAUCAGAACCCUGGUCUUCCACGUGGCUCCAGCACCAUACAACGGUGCCAAUGCAAUUGGGCCCUGAGCUAUGGUUCUUUUGAAAAGAAUUGUAUUUAUUACUAUUAUUCAAUUUGACCAGUGAAAGA